AAAUGUUAUCAAACACAUACACCUUUUGCAACUGCGGAUUGAAAACUCAACCGUGUCAACUAGCAUUUUUAACUAACUAUAGUUUUAGUCUUAAAGGGUGCUGAGUUUAUGCGUUAUAAAUGAACACCCCCCUCCCUUUUUUUUUCUCUCUAAUUUGGGUGCUCACGUCAAAAGCAUCUAAAAGCAUUUUAACUUUUGUCGACUGUCCCAAUUCAAGUUUGUUUGAGAGAGUCCUCCCUUCUUAGCUUGGAUCCUUUAUAUAAGUCCAGAUGAAUAAAAUAAAAUGAAAUGCAAAAGGAAGGCAUCAUUAAUGGCUUGAAGGCGUCCCACUUUUAUUUUCUUGUAUUUUAAGAGCUGAAGUUGGAAAUAUGGAAUCCUCCCAAGCCGCUCAGAAAGUUUGAAGACACAGGGGGCAGGGACCCAGACUUAUGGAAGUCUCCGCCUCAGGCUGAAGAGAAUACAUAAUGAAAAGCUGCAUUUUCUGGGUACAUGCACACAUUUGGAGCGGAUGAACCAUAUGUGAAGCGACAUACAAUGCUGAAUGCCGGCUGAAUGGCGUCCAGCGCUAAAAACACCGCGAGCGCAGGAACAAAAAGCCGGCGAACAAGAGCCAGCGCCAGGCUUGCCUCUGCUGGAACACCAGGGGCUUCGCCGCGAAAACAUGGGUAUAAUUUCACUGUUUUCACUCACACAAGCUGUGGGAAAGGAGUCACCAUCUGAUGUUUGAUUGUGUGGGAUAUGUUUUUGGCAGUGGCCUUGUAUUCCUCAUUGACAAAAAAAAAGAAAAGAAAGAAAGAAACAAGAGAAAAGGGGCAGAGAUGGAGGGGGGAGGAAAAUAAAAAAGAAUAGAGCUACAUUUGCUGUUUUCAAUUUGCAGUCUGGGGGACAGGCACAGCUGACAGUUCUGACCAGUGGCCACCUGAAAAUCAGGGCCAGGGCCUGGGGACUGUCCCCUCUGCCUCCAUCCCCUGGGCCUCCCUUUAUGCCGAGGGACCAGGAGGGGACUUUUCUCCAUCCUCCCCCGUCGGCUGGUUAACUUACGACUGAGCUGUGGGGCUGACGUUUGCCUGAUUUAAUAAAGCCUUUUAUCCAAGGUAGCGGCUGGGAAGGCAGGGUCCUGACAGCCCAGAGGGGGAAAGGGCCCAAGGCUCACAAGCAGACACUUUCCGGAGCCGGUGAGGAAAAGAGUGAAGCUUCAAAAAAACUCCCUGGCAAUGCGUCUGGGGCUGAAGCCAGGUGGUUUCUCCCGUGGUUUCUGGCUGGAGACUGGCAGGGGUGUUAGGUUUACACCCUGGGUCUCUGCCCCAACCGAAGGUUCUAGAAAGAGAUAUGCUGCUCUUUGUCACCAUCUUUUCCUCACUCAGGAAUGCCAGAUUUAGCAAGUAAACAUACAGGAUGCCCAGCUACAUUUGGAUUUCAGAACAACAAGUACUAAGCCGUGAUGUGCUGUUUCCCCAAAAGCCAAUUUUCACUGAGUGUCUUGCACGUUAUCUGACAAUGCUACUCCCACGCCACCAGGCUUCCUGGUCCAGCCACCCACCUCCCCUCACCUGUGGCGGGUGGGCAGGGGGGCGGUGAUCAACAGCCUCCUCUGCCUGCAUCUCAGGAUGUUAAGAGGAUAAUGAGAGAAUAGAUGGGUAGCUGCUUUCCAGAAAGGUCAUUAAUUAGCCCUGCUGGUUAGCAUGUGGUUCCAGUGCCCCAGCUGUGCUAAAGGCCUUCCUCUUAGCAUCCAGUUCAAACCAGGAGACAUGACCAAUGAGACUAGAGAGAGUUUGGUGUCAUUUCCUCCUGGUGCCCAGAGCCCCUUCUCUGAUGGGUUUCACAUAAUUUUGUUUCGACCCUCUUUUAGAAUCAAACCAGGCUGGGUGCAGUGACUCACCCCUAUAAUCCCAGUACUUUGGGAGGCCAAGACAGGAGGAUUGCUCGAGGCCAG
rnacentral:lncRNA from 1 species